AAAUUGAAGAGUUUGAUCAUGGCUCAGAUUGAACGCUGGCGGCAGGCCUAACACAUGCAAGUCGAACGGUAACAGGAAACAGCUUGCUGUUUCGCUGACGAGUGGCGGACGGGUGAGUAAUGUCUGGGAAACUGCCUGAUGGAGGGGGAUAACUACUGGAAACGGUAGCUAAUACCGCAUAAUGUCGCAAGACCAAAGAGGGGGACCUUCGGGCCUCUUGCCAUCGGAUGUGCCCAGAUGGGAUUAGCUAGUAGGUGGGGUAACGGCUCACCUAGGCGACGAUCCCUAGCUGGUCUGAGAGGAUGACCAGCCACACUGGAACUGAGACACGGUCCAGACUCCUACGGGAGGCAGCAGUGGGGAAUAUUGCACAAUGGGCGCAAGCCUGAUGCAGCCAUGCCGCGUGUAUGAAGAAGGCCUUCGGGUUGUAAAGUACUUUCAGCGGGGAGGAAGGGAGUAAAGUUAAUACCUUUACUCAUUGACGUUACCCGCAGAAGAAGCACCGGCUAACUCCGUGCCAGCAGCCGCGGUAAUACGGAGGGUGCAAGCGUUAAUCGGAAUUACUGGGCGUAAAGCGCACGCAGGCGGUUUGUUAAGUCAGAUGUGAAAUCCCCGGGCUCAACCUGGGAACUGCAUCUGAUACUGGCAAGCUUGAGUCUCGUAGAGGGGGGUAGAAUUCCAGGUGUAGCGGUGAAAUGCGUAGAGAUCUGGAGGAAUACCGGUGGCGAAGGCGGCCCCCUGGACGAAGACUGACGCUCAGGUGCGAAAGCGUGGGGAGCAAACAGGAUUAGAUACCCUGGUAGUCCACGCCGUAAACGAUGUCGACUUGGAGGUUGUGCCCUUGAGGCGUGGCUUCCGGAGCUAACGCGUUAAGUCGACCGCCUGGGGAGUACGGCCGCAAGGUUAAAACUCAAAUGAAUUGACGGGGGCCCGCACAAGCGGUGGAGCAUGUGGUUUAAUUCGAUGCAACGCGAAGAACCUUACCUGGUCUUGACAUCCACAGAACCUUGUAGAGAUACGAGGGUGCCUUCGGGAACUGUGAGACAGGUGCUGCAUGGCUGUCGUCAGCUCGUGUUGUGAAAUGUUGGGUUAAGUCCCGCAACGAGCGCAACCCUUAUCCUUUGUUGCCAGCGGUCCGGCCGGGAACUCAAAGGAGACUGCCAGUGAUAAACUGGAGGAAGGUGGGG
rnacentral:rRNA from 1 species